AGUGAACGCUGGCGGUAGGCCUAACACAUGCAAGUCGAACGGCAGCACAGUAAGAGCUUGCUCUUACGGGUGGCGAGUGGCGGACGGGUGAGGAAUACAUCGGAAUCUACUUUUUCGUGGGGGAUAACGUAGGGAAACUUGCGCUAAUACCGCAUACGACCUACGGGUGGAAGCAGGGGAUCUUCGGACCUUGCGCGAUUGAAUGAGCCGAUGUCGGAUUAGCUAGUUGGCGGGGUAAAGGCCCACCAAGGCGACGAUCCGUAGCUGGUCUGAGAGGAUGAUCAGCCACACUGGAACUGAGACACGGUCCAGACUCCUACGGGAGGCAGCAGUGGGGAAUAUUGGACAAUGGGCGCAAGCCUGAUCCAGCCAUACCGCGUGGGUGAAGAAGGCCUUCGGGUUGUAAAGCCCUUUUGUUGGGAAAGAAAAGCAGCAGGUUAAUACCCCGCUGUUCUGACGGUACCCAAAGAAUAAGCACCGGCUAACUUCGU
rnacentral:rRNA from 1 species